CCUAGCAGCGGAUCCACAUCUCGGAUUGGCUGCCUUUGAGAACCGGUGUUGGUUCAGCUACUCUGAUGCUGAGUGUGAUUCUGUAAAUAGCCAGUGUCCAAACAUUGCAUUUAGAGUCUCGUGUAGACCGCGUUGCUCAGGAACUGGUUAUGUUAUUGAGAUCUUACUGCCUGCACUUCCUGCCUAUGCUGGGAUUACAGGCUCAAAGAGCAUCAAAAAACCGAGGAGAUAAAAAGAAUGCAAGAGG